rnacentral:rRNA from 1 species
CGAUACCCGUAGUGCCGAAGCAAACGCAAUAAGCACUCCGCCUGGGGAGUACGACCGCAAGGUUUGAAAACUCAAAGGAAUUGACGGGGGCCCGCACAAGCGGCGGAGCAUGUGGUUUAAUUCGAAGCAACGCGAAGAACCUUACCAGGCCUUGACAUCCUCUGGCCGCCUUGGAGACAAGGUUUUCCCUUUUGGGACAGAGUGACAGGUGGUGCAUGGUUGUCGUCAGCUCGUGUCGUGAGAUGUUGGGUUAAGUCCCGUAACGAGCGCAACCCUUGAAUGUCGUUGCCAGCAUUAAGUUGGGCACUCGACAUUGACUGCCGGUGACAAACCGGAGGAAGGCGGGGAUGACGUCAAAUCAUCAUGCCCCUUAUGGCCUGGGCGACACACGUGCUACAAUGGACGGUACAAUGGGCCGCGAAGCCGCGAGGUGGAGCCAAUCCCCAGAAAAGCCGUUCUCAGUUCGGAUUGCAGGCUGCAACUCGCCUGCAUGAAGCUGGAAUCGCUAGU